GCUACACAUGCAGUCGACGAUGAUGCCCAGCUUGCUGGGUGGAUUAGUGGCGAACGGGUGAGUAACACGUGAGUAACCUGCCCCUGACUCUGGGAUAAGCGUUGGAAACGACGUCUAAUACUGGAUAUGACUGCCGGCCGCAUGGUCUGGUGGUGGAAAGAUUUUUUGGUUGGGGAUGGACUCGCGGCCUAUCAGCUUGUUGGUGAGGUAAUGGCUCACCAAGGCGACGACGGGUAGCCGGCCUGAGAGGGUGACCGGCCACACUGGGACUGAGACACGGCCCAGACUCCUACGGGAGGCAGCAGUGGGGAAUAUUGCACAAUGGGCGAAAGCCUGAUGCAGCAACGCCGCGUGAGGGAUGACGGCCUUCGGUUGUAAACCUCUUUUAGUAGGGAAGAAGCGAAAGUGACGGUACCUGCAGAAAAAGCACCGGCUAACUACGUGCCAGCAGCCGCGGUAAUACGUAGGUGCAAGCGUUGUCCGGAAUUAUUG
rnacentral:rRNA from 1 species